CGGAACCUUUCCCGGAUACGAAAUAGAAAUUUUAAUUUUCAAUUAGAACAUAAAUUGUUUAUAAAUUGUAUUUAGGGUAAAAAUAUUAUUAUUGGAAAUUAAGAAUUAAUUAAUUGUGAUUAGAUUAUUAGACAAUACUUAGUGAUUAAUUAAAAAUUAAUUAGCUUAAUUAGGUUUGGUGGGCCCCACCCGAUCAUUCUUCAAAAAAAAAAAGUUAUUAAAAAUUAUGAUAAAUAAAUAUAAUAAUGAAAUAAAGCUAAGUUAGUGGGUCAACAUGGGAAAAGCACGUGUAGGGAAAUUGGGAACAAUAUAUGUAUAGUUAAAUGAAAAGUGGAUGAACAUUUCAUCUCACACUUUGCAAAGCAAGUUUCAGAAAAACAAAAGUGAAGGCAUCAAAUGCAUGUCACCUUAGAAGGGCACGUGUAGGGCCUAGACAAUGCAUAUAUUAUAUUAGCAACAUGACCAUAGUCAUCAUAUCCAACAUUUCAAAAGCUUGAACAAAAAAAAAAAAAAAAGAAGAAGGAAACUCCCUCCAUUGAAGCUCACGACCAAGAAGGCAAAAAAAAAAAUCAUCCCCUCUUUUUAGCUCCUCUAAAAUUAUUCCAUUGAUGUAAACCCACUAUAUUGAGGUCCCUAAGUAGCGUGGAAGCAUCGUUGGAGCGAUCAACCCAUUAUUUUCAUCUUUUGGAAACCCUAGGCUAUUGGAAAGUUGAAGAAGAAAGACCUUGGGGAGCCUGAGGCGUAGGUUGGGAUUGACUUUAGAUUGGCGAUCUUGGGGUGCGUACGAGGUACAGACGCACAGCCUGGUGAUCCACCUGUUUAGGACACCCUUUCUGCUAUUCGGAGUGCUCCUCUCUUUCCGGAGCUUAUACUUUUGGUAUAUAUAUUUAUUAGUGCAUUUGUAUAUAUUCGUUCAUGGGUACGGCGGGGCCUUGUUCCGUCAUAUGAUUCUGUCGGUUUGUUUAGAGGUCUGUGGACAUGUUUGUGGGUUAGGGUCUUUCUGUUCGGAUGCGUGUGUAUAUGUUGUGUUUGGGCGAUCCCAUUCGCCGCGGCGGCCAGUCCGCAUAUGUUUACAUGUUGUUUUGUUGGCCCUGUGUGGCCUUUGUUGGUACUUCUGUGCGCAAGGUUAUUUUGGGAUAGUCCGUAAAACAAAGGAAACUCUGCCGAAAUUUUUCUGGAAAUUAUAUAAAUUUGAAACACAGCCUUGUCGGCUUCUGUUAUAUACUUGAAUGUGUUUGAUAUAAUUUGAGAUAGAGUUUGAUAGAUGUGUUUGGGUGCCCAGAUCGGGCGCUAGUCACGGCCUACGGGGUUGGGUCGUGACA